AAUGUAAUCGCUAUGUCAUGUGGUAACUCUAUGUUUGAAGAAAUGCUAGAUUCUUUCUAAGGUGGCUGUACAAUUUUACAUUCUUAUCAGCAAU
rnacentral:pre_miRNA from 1 species